rnacentral:lncRNA from 10 species
UCCUGACCUCGUGAUCUGCCCGCCUCAGCCUCCCAAAGUGCUGGGAUUACAGGCGCGAGCCACCGUGCCUGGCCCCUCUAUCUUUUAAAUAUAAUGCUAUAUUCUAUUAACAUAUUUUAGUAUAUCAUAUUAUAUAUAUUGCAUAUUUAUUUAUGUACAUAUUAUUCCCUUUUUUCUUCUUUUUGUCUUUCUCCCCACUACAGUAAACUUUUUAUGAGGGUAAAAGCUGUUCUGUCUUGUUCAACACUGUGCACUGAGAGCCUAGAACAGUACCUUUGCAUAGCGUAGGUGCUCAGUAAAUAUUUGUCGAACGAAUUAAUGAAGGACUGAGAAAAUUAAGAUCCAGUGAGGCAAAAAAACGGCCAGAUAAAAAGUACAUGCAUGAGUGAACAUAAAGAGGAUGGGAUUAGAGAAGUUCUGUAGCGAAGUCCUAAAAUGAUUAAAUGCUGAGAAACAUGCAAAAAAGCUUCUUAGGGCAGCUAUCACUGAUAGGUAUGGUUUAGUGUGAAUCCUAAUAAACAGUCGAAUGGAUUCAGGACUGGACAUAAAAUGAUAAAAGGGACCAGAAAAAGAGAACCAAGUUUUUUGCACAUAGCAUUUAUUAUCAUUAGGAGUGUAAACAUCAUGAUAAAUUAUUGUAAAUGAUAAUAGCACUUUUGAGGCCUUGCCAUGUGCCAGCCACUCUGCUAGCCCUCUAUCUGACACGAAAGAUUCCACUUUUGAUCACUGCCACUUAAAAGCAAAAUGCUGGCCAGUAACACAGAAUUAGAUUGAUUUGUAUUGGGAGGACAGUGGGAAUUCAGGGAAUGAAGGAAAGUACUCCAGGCUGGCAGCUGGUACCACAGCAGGGCAGAGUAAACGCAGGGCAAAUACUUUUUAAAGAAAGGGCUUGCUUUGAAGGGGCCUUCUGUGGGAGGUUUCCCACCUCACCUUGCCCAGUCUCUUUCUUCAAGGAAAAAUCGAGAUAGUCUGGUGGCCACAUAAAUUCAUGGAAUAUGUAUUUAGAUGCCAUUUAUUCAGGAAAUAACAAGUACUUACUAUAAACCAGACCCUGUACUAGCAGGUGAUACUGCAAUGAACAAAAUAGCCUUAGUCUCUGCUCUGGUGAAACCGAGAAUCUGGUGGGGAGGAGAGGCAGAGAGCAAGCAGUUAUAGUAAGUCUUGUGAGUGUUAUGUGAAGGCAUCUGUGCAGCUGUGUCACCAUUUGCUAAGGGUAAAUGUUUCAGAGUAAUUUAAAGAAGAAAAGAUAGUUGUGGUUAAGUAGCUUGAGAAACACUGUCAGAACAACUUUCUCAGACCCACUUAGCAGGGAGGAUGGUGUAUUGUGAUUAAUUCCUUUUGUCAGAUUAGUUGUGUGUGAGACCUCCCUGUCCUGUAGACACCCUUGAAUCUGCCUUGAUUCACUCAGCUAUUCAUUUCCUCAUUUGUUCAGAAAAUGUUUGAGCCCUUCUCUGUGCACCAUGCCCACCGCUGGUCAAUAGAGACAGAGACUUGGGCACAGCCCUGUGGGAUUCCUUAGUGCUGGGGAUUGAAGGAAACACCUACUGAAACAGCCAGAACAUCAGGUGUUGAAUGUUACCAGCAGAGUGUAGCAGCUCAGAGGCCUGGUGAAUUCCACCUGAGGGACUUAGAGAAGGGUUCUCAAAGUUUGGCACAUGUAAACUGGGUUUUGAAGUAUAUAUAGAAGUCCAUCAGGUAGAAAAAUACAAUCUAGAAUAGAUAAAAGGAACAAUAUGUUGGCAGGGGUUGGGGGGUGGAGGAAGAGCACAAAUAUGAAAGGACUUAGUGUGCUGAAAAAACUGCCGAGUGUUUGAUGUGACUAAGGGUGAGAGAAAAGCCCUGGUUGAAAAGCUUGUGUGGAGGGAGAAUAGGCAGACCUUAAGGUGACUAUUUGCUAUUUUGGAGGAACCUAUAUGUGAAGUAUUGUUUUUUUUUUUUUUUCUUUUUUGAGACAAGAGUCUUGCUCUGUCGUCCAGGCUGGAGUGCAGCGGCUUGAUCUCUGCUCACUGCAAGCUCAGCCUCCUGGGUUCAUGCCAUUCUCCUGCCUCAGCCUCCCAAGUAGCUGGGACUACAGGCGCCCACCACCACGCCCAGCUAAUUUUUUUGUAUUUUUU